GUGCUCGCUUCGGCAGCACAUAUACUAAAAUUAGAAUGAUACAGAGAGGAUUUAAUUCGCAAAGGGUAAUGGAGAUGAGGCACGCGCAAAGAAGAUUAGCAUGGCCCCUGUGCAAGGAUGAUAUACAAAUUCAUGAAGUGUUCGAUAUUUUU
rnacentral:snRNA from 1 species